rnacentral:rRNA from 1 species
UACGAAGGGGGCUAGCGUUGCUCGGAAUCACUGGGCGUAAAGGGUGCGUAGGCGGGUCUUUAAGUCAGGGGUGAAAUCCUGGAGCUCAACUCCAGAACUGCCUUUGAUACUGAGGAUCUUGAGUCCGGGAGAGGUGAGUGGAACUGCGAGUGUAGAGGUGAAAUUCGUAGAUAUUCGCAAGAACACCAGUGGCGAAGGCGGCUCACUGGCCCGGUACUGACGCUGAGGUGCGAAAGCUAGGGGAGCAAACGGG